AGCUGGCGGCAUGCUCAACACAUGCAAGUCGAACGGGGUCAGCAUACCCAGUGGCGGACGGGUGAGGAUACGUAGGAAUCUGCCCUUAAGUGGGGGAUAGUCCGGGGAAACUCGGUUUAAUACCGCAUGAUCUCGCAAGAGCAAAGCAGGGGACCGCAAGGCCUUGCGCUUUUGGAGGAGCCUACGUCGGAUUAGCUAGUUGGUAGGGUAACGGCCUACCAAGGCGACGAUCCGUAGCUGGUCUGAGAGGACGAUCAGCCACACUGGGACUGAGACACGGCCCAGACUCCUACGGGAGGCAGCAGCCAGGAAUCUUGGGCAAUGGGCGCAAGCCUGACCCAGCAACACCGUGUGGGCGAUGAAGGCCUUCGGGUCGUAAAGCCCUGUUGAUAGGGACGAAGGGCGAGGGGUUAAUAGCCCCUAGCCUGACGGUACCUUUCGAGGAAGCCCCGGCUAACUACGUGCCA
rnacentral:rRNA from 1 species